rnacentral:rRNA from 1 species
GUGGGGAAUUUUGGACAAUGGGCGAAAGCCUGAUCCAGCCAUGCCGCGUGCAGGAUGAAGGCCUUCGGGUUGUAAACUGCUUUUGUACGGAACGAAAAGACUCCUUCUAAUAAAGGGGGUCCAUGACGGUACCGUAAGAAUAAGCACCGGCUAACUACGUGCCAGCAGCCGCGGUAAUACGUAGGGUGCAAGCGUUAAUCGGAAUUACUGGGCGUAAAGCGUGCGCAGGCGGUUAUAUAAGACAGAUGUGAAAUCCCCGGGCUCAACCUGGGAACUGCAUUUGUGACUGUAUAGCUAGAGUACGGUAGAGGGGGAUGGAAUUCCGCGUGUAGCAGUGAAAUGCGUAGAUAUGCGGAGGAACACCGAUGGCGAAGGCAAUCCCCUGGGCCUGCACUGACGCUCAUGCACGAAAGCGUGGGGAGCAAACAGGAUUAGAAACCCGGGUAGUCC